GACGAACGCUGGCGGCGCGCUUAACACAUGCAAGUCGAGCGAUGAAACUUUAACAGAACCCUCGGGGCGGAGGUAAAGGGGGAUUACGGCGGGAGGGGGAGGAAAACAGUGGGAACCUGCCCUUGAAAAUGGGGUUGCCCCAGGGAAACCGGGAUAAUUCCAAAUAAAAUCAUAAUGGAAAAUGUUAUAAAGGUGAAAAAUGCGGGGGUUCAAGAUGGACUCGCGUCCCAUUAGCUAGUUGGGAAGGUAAAAGCCUACCGAGGCGACGAAGGGUAGACGGCCUGAGAGGGUGACCGGCCACAGUGGGACUGAGGGAGGGACCAGACUCCUACGGGAGGCAGCGGUGGGGAGUAUUGCACAAUGGGCGCAAGCCUGAUGCAGCGACGCCGCGUGGGGGAUGACGGCCUUCGGGUUGUAAACCUCUGUUAGCAGGGAAGAAGAGAAAUUGACGGUACCUGCAGAGAAAGCGCCGGCUAACUACGUG
rnacentral:rRNA from 1 species